UAUUGAUCUUACAGAAUAUUUCACAAUUUCCUAUUAAUCUAUCUUCUCUUCAAAACUAUGCUUGAUGAAGCUUACAGGAACCCCAUGAGAUGUGUUAUUGGAGAAUGAAGUACUCCUUUUUUUUUCAGGCUUCAAUUUGUUUUGUAUCAGGUACCAAGCUUCUGGUUUAUUUCAGGUAACACAGGAAGAAGGAAAUAAGGAAAUGGCCCUCCUGCAUAUCAAACUAACUUAAAGUAUGACAGAGUAAAUCUGUAUUUAAAUACUUUGAUGAUUGACCCUCUUUAUAACCUGUGACAGCUUAAUCUCACAAGCUAUUUGUGCAAUGACUUUACUAGUUUCUAGUUUGGCAAAAUACCCUGAAGACACAUCACUUAAAAUUUGCAGUAAUAGCUGAGUCAGCAGCUGUCUAGCUUGAAAAGAAGAGUGAACAGUUCAGCGUAUUUUCAUCAACGUAAAGGAACUUUGAAGAAACAUCUUGAUCUUCUCAGAAUUAUUUAUUUGUCCAAAUCAAUUAGCCCUUUUUGCCUUACUCUUUCCUCUGUCACACCUCUUACCACAGAUGUGUGGUGGAGUCAGGCACUGUGUGCCAGCUCCAUGUCUGUGCCGCACUGGUAUAGCUCUGUACCAGCAAGGAAUGCUCCUUGAUAUCAUUCCAGUAAAAAAAAAAGUACUGGCAGUAAGAUUCUGGAGAUGGCUGAUGAGUUUUUCAGUACUAAUUUUGACUUCUCUAGCUAGAAUUUGAUAACUCACUGGCUGAGUGGGAAGAAUGAAUAUUGCAGUAAAUUCUUGGUUAAGCAUAUGUUUGUAUGAAAGCUUUUGGUUCAUGCAUCCAUUUGAUUGCCAGACACCUCUAGGAACAAUUAUUUUUAAAGCAAGGUGGCUGUUUAUAGAGCUUGGUCUGUCUGCAGCUUUUGGGCCUGUCCCUAAAGGGUACCACUUGUUUUCUCUAUAUCUUCACUUGCACUGUGCUGUGGUCAACACUUACUGAGCAUUCUGGCUGUUAAAGCAGUGCUUUUCACACCCUUCUCUUCUUUUCAUCUGUGUUUCUGGGUUGUUUUUUGUUGUUGUGUGUUCCUCAUGGGAAUCCUGCUGUACCCCCUUGCCUGCUGGGCCUGGCCCUGGGCUGUGGUGGUGCCAUGUUUCCCUUGCCCCAGAAGAGUCCAAUUCUGGGCACACAGGGACAUUGCACUGAGAGCAUCACAUAGAGCACAGGGAACCAAACCAGGCAGUCCAAGGGGUGGCAUGGCUGGGAGAAGGUGAGAGGCGAGAGGAGAAGGAACAUGAGUCCUGCUGGUGCUUGGCAGCACUGAUCUCACCCUGGUCUCGUGUGGAGAGCCGUGUGUCGCAGGGAGGAGCUGUGCUCUGGCCUCCCCCAUGGGGCUGUGUGAUGCUGCUGUGUGGGAACUGGCUGUGUAUCCAUGGUGCCUGUGACACUCGUGAGGGUUGAUAUUCUUGUCUGUACGUUUAAGAGGGAUCUUACUGCCUGACCUUAUAUAAUAUGUGUGAAUAUUUCACAGCUCCAAUAUCAUGCCCACUAGCUGAAAUGAUUGCUGAGCUUUAAUCUUCAGUUUUUGAUAUGAGACAUGGUUAUUAUGAGAAUCCUGGAAAGAUUUCUAUCCCAUCCAAGUCCAGAAAAUCUCGUGCCUUAUAUGAGUUCCUGCAGUGUUGAAGACUUUAACCUUGAAGAACUUGGUGCAAUACAUCUCUCCAAGCCCCAUCCAUGACUGACUAUAUGCCAACAACUCCCUGCAGGAAGAAUUGACUUGCACAGGACUCAUGUUUUCUCCUCUGCUCUCCUCACCACUUCUCCAACUCACUUGCUCCCUGCUGCUGGAAGAUUCUGCUUGUUAGGUGAUGUUUUACUUUUACCUAGGAUUGCUUUUGCCCAAGAUUUAACUCUUGACAAUCUAUACAGUUUUCCAUAAGAAAAAAAGGAAUACUUCCCAUGUAUUUUGUUUCGCCUUUUUUUUUUUCUCCAAAAGAAAAAAUAAUGACUUUCUGAAAUGCUGACUGUGUAUUUCAGUUAAAGUAUGUACAUCUUAGCCAAGCACAUGUGCUUGUGGUUUCUCCCAUUAUUGCUGCUUAUUUUUCUCUUAAUUUUCCCUCGGUGAUAAUUUGUCUUUUUUUUCAUAUUAUUUGAAAUAGAAGUUUGCAUUUUCUUGAAAUGAAAUUAGCUGUAACCCAGAAAAUUCUUCACACACUGCUGCCAAGAAAUUAAAAAGCACUUAAGUGACUUAGAAAAGAGCUGUUUCCACAAGCCAGCACUACGUGUGAUGUUCCCAGAUGGAAGCUGGUAUCCUCCUCUGCCAGUGCAGUGUAGUGCAAGGAUACCAGCGUAGCUCUGGCAAGUCAUGUGGCUGCAUAUUAUUGCUUUUCAUCUCCUACAUCACAUGAGCAGUUCUGAACAGUUUUUUCAUACCUAACUACAAAGCAGGAUGUGAGAUUUAAGCGGUCUGGCAAAUACCAGAAUGAUUGACAGCCCUGCAAUAAGAUGCAUUCAACUUGAGUAACACAAAUCCUUCAACAGAAACAGGGAUGCGUAACAGGCCACACAUUUGAAUGUGUUUGUGCCUGCUCAAUAUUUGCUGGGUAUCAGUGAGGUUGGAUUCUCUGUGGGAAAUAUCAUUCAAGAGUGUUCAGUGUCCCUACACCGAAAUCCCUUCAUAGUUUGGGAGAAAAUGCAACAGGGACAGAGAUUGCUGAAAUGCCAUUUUGAAAUGUGCACUUUUGUUUUUGAAUUGCAGUCACAGAGACUUUCCCAAAGUCAAGGCCCAUCUGUAUGAUCUGUGCAUUGCACAAACAAAUGGUGAGAGUUAUCAUUAAAAAUUUUGUAAUUUAUACAAACAAGAACAGCUGGUGAGGAAUUGGAACCACAUCUAAACAUAAUAUAUAGGAAGAGUUACCAAUAAAGCCUUGAUCUCUCCAUUUACAGCAUCAAGUUUUCUGUGCUGCAUCUGUCCUUCCUCAUUUCAGGAUGCUCAUCUGAUAAAGUGCACAUUAAGUGUCACAGGGAUCUCCAGCAGCUUCAAAACCAACAGCUGCUGGUCCUCAGAGCCUCUCAGCACUUAUG